CUUUACCACCUAGUGUCAAGAUAAGAUUCUGUGGUCGUGAGUUUGUGUCCGUUCGUGCUCGGUAAAGGUCGUGUUUAUAGUUAAUAGGAAACAGAGAUGAUGAAGCCUCUUCCGGUGAUUCUGUUCAGCAUUUUCUUCACGAGGUUCCCCUGCGCUCAUGGACUCCACCUUGCCUCCGACCGUGCUUGUGAUCACCAGCAGCCCUCUGAAUUUCAAAAGGCAAGAAUUGUUGCUAUGAUGAAUGCCUACUAUAAGAAGCAGCUCACUUACUUUGCCAUCUUCUUCGAAGCCAAUGAAAUAGGUGAAAAUAUAGGUAUG